rnacentral:rRNA from 1 species
CGGGACGGGUGAGUAAUGUCUGGGAAACUGCCCGAUGGAGGGGGGUAACUACUGGAAACGGUAGCUAUACCGCAUAACGUCGCAAGACCAAAGAGGGGGACCUUAGGGCCUCUUGCCAUCGGAUGUGCCCAGAUGGGAUUAGCUAGUAGGUGGGGUAAUGGCUCACCUAGGCGACGAUCCCUAGCUGGUCUGAGAGGAUGACCAGCCACACUGGAACUGAGACACGGUCCAG